rnacentral:lncRNA from 1 species
UCCACAAGGAAGUCAGUCCGAAAGUUUAGAGCCCUACUAGAUGAACUGAGAAUUUAACUAUGGUUCCAAAGUGCACUAGUGUGUGCUCAUGGUUCACUGAGUGCACAAGACAAGAAUGUUAAUAUAAACGAAAGUAAAUCAGCUUCUCAUGGGAUUAAUUAAACAACGCUUUGAAUCUGUUAGAAGCCAGAUACUACUAAUGAGUCCUUAACCAAGUCUAAAUGAGGCAUAUUCAUCGUUACUUCGAGAAUAGGAACAUAAAGUGAAGCAUUUUGGCUAUAAUCAGUUCAAUACUCACAAAGAAAAGAGUGAUAUUAUGUAAUCAUUGUCAUGGAGCGGAACAUUCCAAGGAAAAUGUUUUCAACUACAUGGUUUCCGACGUCUAUUCGGG